rnacentral:rRNA from 1 species
AGCGACUGUGCAGGUUACCGCGGCUGCUGGCACGGAGUUAGCCGGUGCUUCUUCUGUGAGUGAUGUCCUUCCUGCCGGUUAUUGACCCGCAGGCCUUCUUCCUCACUGAAAGUGCUUUACAACCCGAAGGCCUUCUUCACACACGCGGCAUGGCUGGAUCAGGGUUGCCCCCAUUGUCCAAUAUUCCCCACUGCUGCCUCCCGUAGGAGUCUGGGCCGUGUCUCAGUCCCAGUGUGGCUGAUCAUCCUCUCAGGACCAGCCUACGGAUCGUCGCCUUGGUGAGCCCGUUACCUCACCAACCAGCUAAUCCGACAUAGGCUCAUCCGAUAGCGCGAGGCCCGAAGGUCCCCCGNUUUCCCCCGUAGGGCGUAUG